AGAGUUUGAUCAUGGCUCAGGAUGAACGCUGGCGGCGUGCCUAACACAUGCAAGUCGAGCGAGAAAUUCGCAGAUUAUAUCUAUGAUCAGUGAAUGGAAAGCGGCGGACGGGUGAGUAACGCGUAGGUAACCUGCCCCAUACAGAGGGAUAGCCACUGGAAACGGUGAUUAAUACCUCAUAAAACUGAGUAUACACAUGUAUGUUCAGCCAAAGAUUUAUCGGUAUGGGAUGGACCUGCGUCUGAUUAGCUGGUUGGUGAGGUAACGGCUCACCAAGGCGACGAUCAGUAGCCGACCUGAGAGGGUGAUCGGCCACAUUGGAACUGAGACACGGUCCAAACUCCUACGGGAGGCAGCAGUGGGGAAUAUUGCACAAUGGGCGAAAGCCUGAUGCAGCAAUGCCGCGUGAACGAAGAAGGCUCUUGGGUCGUAAAGUUCUGUUCUGAGGGAAGAAGAAAGUGACGGUACCUCAGGAGAAAGCCCCGGCUAACUACGUGCCAGCAGCCGCGGUAAUACGUAGGGGGCGAGCGUUGUCCGGAAUUAUUGGGCGUAAAGAGUACGUAGGCGGUUUGUUAAGCGCAAGGUGAAAAGGCAUAGGCUCAACCAAUGUAAGCCUUUGCGAACUGACAGACUUGAGUGCAGGAGAGGAAAGCGGAAUUCCUAGUGUAGCGGUGAAAUGCGUAGAUAUUAGGAGGAACACCGGUGGCGAAAGCGGCUUUCUGGACUGAAACUGACGCUGAGGUACGAAAGCGUG
rnacentral:rRNA from 1 species